UACAUCAAAAUAAACUUAGAAUUCGAAAUAUUGAGUAUAUUUACUAUAUAUUGCAAUAAUUUACUCUGUAUUUUGCCAGACUGGUAAUCCUAGGGUCGUAAUGAUGGGGCCCUUGAAUAUUGUUGCCCAGGGUACAGGGAAGUGUUAAUCCGACCCUGCUAACAGGACGAUUUUCUGCUGCAAAGGGCUUAAUGCUGUUCAGAAUAGAUGUGGAGAGCUGCCAGAGCAUCCACGCUGCAUGACCUUUCAUCCAGGCCUUCAGCCAGUCUGCUUGAACUCAUACUACCUGCAGAAUGAUCUGAACAUUUAUCAGGCAGGCCAUUGGAGGCAAAGGAACAAGCUGUGUAAAUUAGACAAAAAUAGUUUUUAUUGCUUUCUGAUGUGUUGAUCAAAGUACGUCUUUAAAAAAGUGAUUCAAAGUUCAAAAUGAUGAGGCAGGUCUUUUUCAUGACUCCAACUUGUUUUCUGGGGUUUGGAUAUGUAAGGGAGUUGUGAAAGAAAGGACAGUUUUUUUUAAUGGUCCAGUGUGUUAUAAUUGUUUGAUUUUAUUUGUAUAAUAUCAAAAAAGGUAGAUACUCAUAAAUAAAUGUUUAAAUAUGUUUUCAGUUUUUUUCUGUUUCUGUAGUAAUUUUGUUGUUAAAAUUAGCAUCAUUGCAUUUUCUGUAAUCACAAAAACUACUGAAUUUUACAAACUGAUAAAAUGAAAACAAUCAAUGUAUCCAAUGUUGCACUUAAUAAAUUAUUUCCUGUGUAAUGACA